AUGUUGAGAAUGAAUGCAAAUGUGUUCUUUGAUCUCCAUGACAAGUUGGUGGCGGAGUAUGGCCUCAAAGAAACAUGUUUUGUUACCACUUAUGAGUCUCUUGCUAUGUUCUCGUGGACCUUGGGUGGUUGUGAAUCAAACAGGAGAACCCAAAACCGUUUCAAACAUGGAGCAGAUACAGUCCACCGUAAGUUCCAUGAGGUUCUACAAUGUGUGGUCAAGAUGUCAUCUCACUACAUUAGGCCUCAAGACCCAAAUUUUCACAUCGUCCAUGAUAGGAUUAAGCGUGACAAAAGGGCUUAUCCUCAUCUCAAAGAUUGCAUUGGUGCAAUAGAUGGGACACAUAUUAGGGCUUCUAUUCCGGAAGGACCUUCAAAAAUAAGGUACAUUGGAAGAACCGGUGCAACAACACAGAAUGUGAUGGCAGUAUACGACUUUGAUAUGCAUUUC
rnacentral:rRNA from 1 species